AACCACAGUAGAGAUUACCAGCAGGAUAUAAAAUAAAAUCAUGAGAUUUCUCUCAACAUGAUUCCUAGUAUUUAAUCAUGUUGGGAACAUGCCUGUUACCCAUUGCCACCUCUUAGCUGAGACUGGUAGCGUUCCAGGGGAAGGUCAGCGGUUUUCUUGAGGAAUGCUACCUCCGGAGACAAAUCAUCUCCUUUUCCUGGGUGGUGGAAGGAUGCUUUGGUGCAGAGAAGUGUGUUGCUGACCAGACCUCCUCCAGAAUCUGACCGGCAUCCCAGAGGAUUUGUGCACAGUUUCUGGAAAACACAGUGUAUGCUGCUGAUAGAGAUAUGUCUCCUUUUUCUGCCAUCCAAAUGCCAAACAAAGAGGAAUGGAAACCAAAUGGAAGCAGAGUGCUUUUGUUCGUGAACUGAAAAAUUUAUGGAUAUUUGUAAAAAUGCAGAAGAACUUGGUCUGCUGCUGAGAAGCAAAGAUAAGAAGUAGAACCUGUCACUGGCAGGGUAUUUUGGGGUCAGCUUCAGGCAGGGUGCGUCAAUCCCUGGAUGCCCACGUGCAAGAAGGUCAAAGUAAUCAAAGUAUCUAAAAAGCACAUCACAGUAAUGUCUUGAAUGUUAGUAGAAAUCUGAUUGUGUGGACUCCAGGAGCAAUCAUUUUGUAUUGAGCAAUACUUCCUGCCUCACCAGGUAAAUACCCCUUGGAUCUUGGCUCUUCAUUUUCACAAAUGUAAGAACAUUUUUAAGCCUUAUUGGGACAGGCUGGGGGAGGCUGACUGGAGGGAUGUGAAUUUAAUGUGAAUGGAGGCACUUCUAAUGCUAAUAUACCUUCUAUAGCAUCAGUAAUAAAUGCUGGAAUAGGGCGUUGCUGGCAAGUUUAUAAUGACAGGCUGCAGCAGUGUCGUUUUCUGUUGCCAUUAUGAUCUGGUCCCGCUAACUGGGCUGGAGUGCUUUAAGGCUCCGUGCUUUCUUUGAAUUACGGCCUUUGCUUCUCGACUCUUCAGGAAUCUUUCAUUGCUGCCUCUCUCGACAUCUAUUUGCAGCUUCACCAUUGCAAUGAAAGGGAUCAACAAACACAGAGAAAAUUAAAGAGGCCAUUGCAUUAGAACACGUAACUAUUCACAAAAUAUAUUGGGCUAUAAAAUUGGUUACUUGUUUUCAUUACAAGGGCUCCAUGGCUAAUAUUAUAUUAUACAAAUUAGACCAUUCUUUUAACAAUGACUGUAAUGGGGAUGAUGUACUGAAAGCCUUAGUUUGUUCUUCUAACAGCAUCAAUAUUGAAAGUUUAUGUCCUCCUCUUAAUAGCUCUUCUCCUAAACAGAACUUACAUUUGAGGCCCAAAGACUUCUUUAAUUGCGCUGUGCUAAUUAGAAAUGACGCGUUAGUAGGAGUUUUACAGAUGCUAUGCAGCUGGCCACAGGAGGGCUACUUGCAACAUAACAUGAGUUCAGUAAUGUGGCACUUCCAGAUUAUGAUGGGUAUAAAAAUUACUUUUCUAAGCAGGCUUUUUGGAGGGAAGGAUGAAGUUUUGAGGAAAGCAAGCUUAAUUAUUCUAAUCUGAAGAGGUUAAAUUGAUGAUGAUGUCUUUUCAGGAAGGGGCCAAGAGAAAAGGGAAGAAAAUCAGGAUACAAAGUGAGAACAGCUAAGGAACAAAGAAGAAUACUAGGGUGGUGUGGGGAGUGAGGACUGAAAAGGUUAUAGUUGCUAAAGGUAUGAUCUGCUAGUGUUCAGAGAUUAUCUUUUUGGGCAUAUUCCCCUUUGCUUUUUUCUUAUGUGAAACAGCACAUCUCAUGCAAGAAAAGGUAUUUAAAUUUUUUUGUUUUUGCAUUGUGCUGACUUGGUUGCUGCUUUCCAUCUAGUUGAACCGGAUGGAAUUAUGUUUAUUUUGGCUGAAAUUCACCAGUUAAAUAUUUACUGUUUGGUGACUGAUGUCUACCAGCAGUGCUGAGGUCUGAUCAAUUUUAACUUCUCUUUCCACUGUACUUGGUGGUCCAAGUGAUGAGAAGGCUGUUUUUGCGUGUAGGAAUUUAUUACCCUGAUGUUUACAUAUUUUAAAUCAAAUCCUGCAUGCAGUUUCAGAUGUAGAUGCACGCGUAGGCUUCUGGUAAGAAACAAGGAUAAAUGUGCAUUCUACUGAAAAGUGAAACGCCUAAGAUCUCACAUUUUCAUGCAAAAACACGGUGAUACCUUAAUUCUCUAUUCCAGAAGAGCCUUCAGAUCUGCCCUCACUGCUCUGGUUGCUUGGGAUGCAGGCCAUGUCCAGUUAUUGUGGGGAGCUCUAACAACUGACAAAACCUUUAUCUAAACCUCCAUAUGGCACAUCACCGAAGUACCUAGACAUGUGCACUUUUGUCUUUGGUCAUUUCCUACAGAAAAUACAAUUAGGCUUGGCUGUCAGACAGAUGAAAUCUGUCACAUUCCUCCUGUAGGAGCUGAACUUGGUCCAGCCCAAUAAAUAGGAAGAAUACUCACCCAUAAAAUUGCAAGUGGCGCCUGUGAUUUCAAUGCACGUGGGCUAAGAUUCUGUGGAAUCUGGCACAUGCCACUUUCUGGCUGAACAGCCUGUUUCUGGGAUCAGCGCUGCUUCCCUGCUCUGCCACACUAAAAACCCUUGCAAUAAAGCUGCAGAUGGUUUUGCCACACCUUCCCUAAAAGGGCAGUUUCCUACAGAAAGCGGGACUUUGUAGCUUUCUGAGGAAGAACCUUACCAUCGAGAUUUGCUCAAAUCGCCUUACUAGAAAAACCUUAGGAAGUGAUUUGCUUUGUAUCGCUCCUUCUUGCAUCUUCAUAGUUUUUAACAUGCCCUGCCUGCUGUAGACAUGUCAAAGAGGAGGAAAAAAUUACGACCCAAUCAGAAGUUUCAUAAUGUCUUGUUUUCCUGUUCCUGAGUUAUCCAGCAGCAGGUCAUAUUUCACAGAGCCAUUUGUUAUUUGCAGUGGUUGAAAUCGGGCUGAUGUUGGACAGGCUUGUUACCCUCAGGUGAGCAGUCACAGGUAACUGCGUGCUGGGAGCUGUGCCUUGGGUUAGGUGGGGAUUUGGGCUGUGUGGAGCUCACCCAUUCCUUGGCUGCCUGGUUAUUAUGUUAUGGCCCCUCUUUCAAGGAUGGAGGGCUCCAGAUGCCCUUUACUGACAGCUAUGGGGGCAAGUUUGCAGAAUAAUUAUCACCAGUGGUGUAACGGACAGUAUAUCAUUCUCUUCUUUCACGUUAUUUCUGACAAAAUGCCUUUAGGUGUGCGUGUGACAAUUUUAUUUUCAAAAGGGCGCAGCCUUUUAUCACGGCAUUUCUCAGGGCAGCAGCUUGUGUAUUAGAGCAUCUGCCAGGGGGAAUUGAGGUAUUGCCUGUAUUUUUCUUGACACAACAUUGUAUUUCAUACUGUAAACCUAACAAGUAGGUGGAAUUAACUGAUCUUCACUUGUACCAUGGCUAUGUGUUAUCACACUUGAUUAUCACCUGUGUGCACAAAAUCCAUUUUGUAAAGUUGUCCUUUAGGACAUUGUAUGUCAACAAAACAUUAAAUGCUCUUUUCUUGUCCUGUCCUGUA